UCCAACUGGGGUCAUCCCCAAUCUCGCUACAGGAGCAGGGAGCCGUGGCGGGCAUCCAUGGCGCCCCAGCCAGGUGCCGGCUAUCCCGCGGCUCCCCCUGUUGGUUAAGGGCGCCCCCAGCAGCCUCCGUCCCCUCUGGAACCCUAGCCCCCAAAUCCCACAUCUCCCUCUCCCUCGCCCACUCUCUUCGCCCCGCGCGGGAUCGCCGCGUCACCACCGCUGCGUCGUCGUCACCACGACCAACGAGCUCUCCGCCGCGGGAGAACCUACCAGGAGCCCCGCGUCGUUCGUCCACACCGUCCUCGCUCGCAAGCCCGAGCCGCGGAGGUCGUCAUCGCCCGAUCGGGCAUCUUCCCCUGUUUCGGUCGCCGCCGUCCCGCCGCGUGGAGCCUCCCCGAGAAUACCAUCCGCCCCCUGGUGAGCUCCUCUCCCCAUCCCCCUCUUUUACUUGCUCGAUCCGUCACCGUAUCGUCGUCCUCGCAAGCCUGGCCGCCAUGGCCGACGCUUUGCGUCCGAGAGCAAGCCCGCCUGCCCAUCCCCGCGCCUUUGCUCCUCGCAGUGCGCCCAUAGCAGCUCCUCAUCGCGCCUUGCCUUGCGCUCGGCUGUGCCUCCACGCACGCGUCCGCCCCCGUGUUGCCGUGCUCCCGGCCGCCCCUGCGAGCCGCCACAGCCUGCUCCUGCGCUGCUGCUGCUACUUACUUCUCUACUUGUUGUUGCUAUGCGUUGCUACUAGCUCGGCUGCUGCAUCCUACUACUGUCGCUGCUUACUGUACUUUGUAGUUACUAGCUAGCUUCUCUAGUUUUACAAUGACUAACACUUUAGACAGUUCCUAAACGAUGGCUAACCAACUACUAACUUGGGCAAAAAUAAUAUGAGUAGAAAGUUUGCAUGACGAACUCCAUUUUAUUCCACUGGACCAAAUCCCUUCGAUGCCUGGAUUAAAUCCUAUCAAAAUCGCAAAAUGCUCUUUUUUGUUAAAAGGAAAUAGAAGUAACUCCUAGCUAGGUGCUCUGUGUGUGUAUUUUGUAGGUGUGUGUGAUGUAUGUACAGCGUGUGUGUGGCCGGUGUGCCCAUGUGUGUAGGGCUGCCCCAAAGCAGCGUGUGUGUGUGUGCUGUGUAGGUGUGUGUGUGUGUGAUAUUUGUGCAGCGUGUGAGUGUGUGUGGCCGAUGUGCCAUGUGUGUGGGGCUGCCCCAAAAUUAGUUUAGGUCUAGUUUAAUUAGAUGGAUUAGUUUCAGGAUUAUUUUUGCUUCUUAGCUAGUUUUAUUAGUGCUAAGUUACUCUAGUAGUAGAUGACAUGUAGGCCCUCUUUUUAAAUAAGUUAGGUUUAGAGUCUAUGACAUGUGGGCCACACAUCCCCUUUUGACUAGUCAAAUUGACUUAGUCAACCCGAAUUAGAAUAAUAUGUUAAUUCUAGAAAAUAAAUUAAACUUUAAAAAUCAAUAUAAAAUAAUCCGUAACUCGGAUGAAAAUACCAUGUACAUGAAAGUUGCUGAGAACGACGAGACGAAUUCAAAUACGCAGUCCGUUCGUUCGCCACACAUCCCUAGCAUAGCGAACACGCAACUUUCUCCCUCCGGUUCAUCUGCCCGAAAACGCGAAACACCGAGGAUACUUUCCCGGAUGUUUCCCCCCUUCGCUGGUAUCACAUAUCCUUGCGUUACGUCACCCUUAGCACAACGUAUUGCCGCGUCUUGCUUUGUGUUACAUUUGAUUGCUCUGUUAUUUAUUGUGUUCCCCCUCCGUUACUUCUUUUCGGUAGGCUUCGAGACCGUUGCCGAUACCCCUGUGAUCGGCUACAUCGACGAUGACCCCUCUCUCUUGUCAGAGCAACCAGGCAAGCCCCCUCUUUGAUCACCAGAUAUCGCCUACUCUUCUCUCUACUACUUGCAUUAGAGUAGUGUAGCAUGUUAUUGCUUUCCGUUAAUCCUAUUCUGAUGCAUAGCAUGUCUUUACUACUACUGUUGUUACCUUUACCUGCUAUCCUAAUGCUUAGUAUAGGAUGCUAGUGUUCCAUCAGUGGCCCUACAUUCUUGCUCGUCUGCCAUGCUAUACUACUGGGUCGUGAUCACUUCGGGAGGUGAUCACGGGCAUAUUCGAUAUACUUUAUACUGUUAAAUUACUUAUGAUACUGUUCGGAGUUAGGGGCUGAAGGGGCAGGUGGCUCCAUCCCGGUAGAGGUGGGCCUGAGUUCCCGACGGCCCCGACUGUUACUUUGUGGCGGAGCGACAGGGAAGUUGAGACCACCUAGGAGAGAGGUGGGCCUGACCCUGGUCGGCGUUCGCGGUUAUUUCAAGAUAACACAUUUAACGAGAUCUUGGUAUUUGAUCUGAGUCUGUCCACUGGCCUAUACGCACUAACCAUCUACGCGGGAACAAUUAUGGGCACUCGACGUCGUGGUAUCAGCCGAAGCCUUCGUGACGUCAGCGACUGAGCGGCGCGCGCCGGAUUGAACUGGAACGCCUGCUAGGCUAGGUCUGCUUCCGCCGCGUUCGCAACGUGCAGGUGUGCAAUGGGCGAUGGGCCCAGACCCAUGCGCCAUAGGAUUUAGACCGGCAUGUUGACCUCUCUGUUGUGCCUAGGUAGAGUUGCGACGUGUUGAUCUUCCGAGGCCAGGCAUGACCCAGAAAAGUGUGUCCGGCCAAAUGGGAUCGAGCGUGUCGGGUUAUGUGGUGCACCCCUACAGGGAAGUUAAUCUAUUCGAAUAGCCGUGAUCUUCGGUAACAGGACGACUUGAAGUUGUACCUUGACCUUAUGACAACUAGAACCAGAUACUUAAUAAAACACAUCCUUCCAAGUGCCAGAUACAACCGGUGAUCGCUCUCACAGGGCGGCGAAGGGAGGGUCAUCGGUUAGGAUUAUGCUAUGCGAUGCUACUUGGUGAACUUACCAUCUACUCUCUUCUCCUGCUACAAGAUGGAGGUUACCAGAAGCGUAGUCUUUGAUAGGACUAGCUAUCCCCCUCUUAUUCCGGCAUUAUGCAGUUCAGUCCACAUAUGAUACCCCUUUUUCCAUUUGAUACCAAUGCAUACAUAUGUAGUGUAGCUCCUUGCUUGUGAGUACUUUGGAUGAGUACUCACGGUUGCUUUGCUCCCCCUUUCCCCCCUUUCUGUACCCGGUUGUUGCGACCAGAUGAUGGAGUCCAGGAGCCAGAGGAUCCCGAGGAUGAUUCUACGUGGAGUUCGACUUCCAGGAGUAGUUUAGGAGGAUCCCAGGCAGGAGGCCUGCGCCUCUUUCGAUCUGUAUCCCAGUUUGUGCUAGCCUUUUUAAGGCAAACUUGUUUAACUUAUGUCUGUACUCAGAUAUUGUUGCUUCCGCUGACUCGUCUAUGAUCGAGCUCUUGUAUUCGAGCCCUCGAGGCCCCUGGCUUGUAAUAUGAUGCUUGUAUAACUUAUUUUAUUUGUAGAGUUGUGUUGUGAUAUCUUCUCGUGAGUCCUUGAUCUUGAUCGUACAUGUUUGCGUGUAUGAUUAGUGUAUGGUCAAAUCGGGGGCGUCACAAGUUGGUAUCAGAGCCGACUGCCUGUACGAAUCCCUCUUCCACACUCCUUUGCGAAAGUUGAGUCUAGUCGUUACAAAACUUUUACUAACAUGGCUGUGCGCCUUACGGGCCCACGUCGCCAUUGGGUGGUAUUAGGAUCUUUUACUCCUUGUCUAUACUCUGGGACUCUGAUCUCUCUUCUAUUCGGGUUAAAUGAAUUUUGCUAAAUCUAACAUUAGGAGCUCGUCAUCACUUUCACCCGGAGAGCCUUUUAUUACUGAUGAUCGUCUGCUGCACGUGAAGACCCUGAAGAUACGCUUCGCUGUUAACCCGAGAACUUGUGUUCAUCGCGUUUGCAAUUCCCCUUUCACCGUCAACCCUUAUGGAUAACUACUUGCAGUUGUUAUUCUUACAUUCAUCCCCAGUUGGUCUUGUUAUUACAAGAUACCCCGAAAUACUCGUCGUUGUUUUGAUAAUCCUUUGAGCUUACUGCCUUGCUGUUCUUUGUCACCUGAAUAACCCUAUGGAUAAUUCUCGCACUUAUCGAGUAUCCGCUCACCCCCAGUUGUUCAUGUGUUUCACAAUGGUCUUCGAAAUACUAUUCGGUCCUCCAAGAAUCCUUAGUAGCUUAUUGCUCUGCAAUACUUGUCUGCUUGCAUUUUGGAUGCUUUCCAUAUGUCUGGCAAUAUUUGUUAGUAUCCUUAGACACCGUAAUUUUGAUCCUAAUGAUUCAACAUGAGUGCGAAUGCACGCAAUUAUCAGUUGAUCCUUUUAAAUUAUCUUUCUGGCUCAGACAUCGUUUUUGAACAUGAGCUUGUUCUUGACCAAUCUGUUUGCCGUCAAUUGUACCCUUAGGUCUAUUGAACUUAUCCACCCUUGAUCAGAGCGUCUACUUCUGAUCCUUCUAUUUGGGAAUCAUAAUUCCUUUGAUAACUAAGCAUCAAAUCAUUCAGGUGUUCUAUAAUCUGAGGCCCUUGCAUCCUAUCUUCAACUGAUUGUGUGCCGAUGCUCACAUCAGCUCUGCUAUGGACCGUCAGAUCCUUUAUUGGUUUACCAUUCAAAAGUGUCAUCCUUAUUCAAUAAGCUUGUGAGCCUUUCCUCGGAUACAUAAUGCUUUUGGUGAAUUGUAUCCUCUGUUUUCUUAACCAUGCUCUGUUUUCGAGCUGGUGGUAUUUACGAUUGAAGCUUGUGGUAUAUGAUUCCACGAUACCCUGACGGGUUGAACCUAUGCGUUUCUUAAUCUGUGUGAACCCGAAAGUUUUUCACGGGUCAUGCUCCUCUGGUAAUUCACCAGGUAGGUUUUUGACACUGAAAUCAUUUUUAACUAGAGCAGUGAAUGAAAGUUAUUGCAUUGAAGGAGUGGGAGUCGAUCUUGAACCUUGCGUUCAUGCCCAUGGACACGAUGUAGAUCUUAUCAUUAAAGCUUCUCUUAAAUUAAUUAUUCCUUUGGUAUAAGUUCAUCUUAUAUCUGGGAUCUGACCUUUUGCAAUCGUGGUUUCGACCAUGUUCUCCUUUAAAUACCAUUUCUCGUGCAAAUUUAAGCACUUGUCUUCUGCGGAGUAAUACCCUAGUCCAACCUCUACUUUGAUUUGUCGUCGAGUAUUACCCCCCUGGUAUCUCAAGAUUAUUAUGGAACUGCAUAACUUCUUAUGAGUUCUUCAUCAAGUGCUACAUUCUCAUUGAUUCCAAUUUUUCAUAGGUUCUGAGUUGUUAGUCGUUCAAGAACACCGGUAAGUGAACCGAUUCCGCACUCUGGUUCGAUAACUCUAAGUAAGCUUCAUUGCUUAUGAGUUUAAUAAUCCUUCAAGUCAUUCCAAGCCUGAUCGGCUAUAUCAUUAUCGUGCUAAAUUUUAACUGUGCUACCCGGUCCUUAAUCCCGGAGCACAACUUUCGAUAUGAGCUAAGCUUACGUCGACUUUCCACGUUAGAUCUUUUUGCCUUGAACAACAAGCUGGAUUCCGAGUUUGUGGCGUACUCGUGGUUCCAAUAACUUUUUGCUUCAUCAUUCCUUUGACUUGAUGUCAUCGCCGACCGAUUACAUCUCCAUGAAACCUCUCGACAGAAUUUUUCAUGAUCAUCAUCACCAUUCUUUUCUUGGUCCCCGUGUUGUUUCUAAUCAGAAUACCGACAAAUGGUCUGUGAUGUGUAAAUUCUAAACUUCUAGCAACCCUAUUGCUUUGAAGUUAUUGGUCUAUAGUUUCAUGCUACGUCUAUGGCUUAUUGAAUCAUCAUUCGAACAUUGAUCGUGCUACCUAGCCCAUAUUUCGGGUGCGCAUUUCAACCAAUGUUUAACUGUGUAUGUUUUCCUUGAGCAUACAUCAUUAAGUCAUUUGAUCUAGCUUAUGUUAUCUCCUUGUUCACAUAGUUGUGGAAAUCCAUCUUUUUGGAAAUCUCAAUGGAUUGUCGCUGAGUCAAUCAGUCACCUCCUCACCUCUCCUUGAUUUAAUGGUGAACCCUUGUUCGGAACUCGCUUCCAUAGUUCAUUUCCCGACAACCUUACAAUGUCAUCUCGACAAUUUGUGUUGCAUCUUUCUUCUCAAGCAUCCUAAGUCUGAGUUAUCCUGACACCAAUCAGAUCUGAAUCUCGGUCAGAUAUGAUGGUUGGAACAUAUUUCCAGGAGUUAUAACAUCUUUAUAUGACCCGGUAAGGUGAUGUCAUGCCUAGCACACCUGGCCGGAGGACUUAUGGUUAUAGUUCAUCCUUUUUAGCAAGGUUAUCCAUUCUUCCCUGAGGAAAUUGUAAGGCUUAUUCUACAAGUUGUUCCUGAUGGAUCCCUUGAGUAUCCAAAAUCCGACCUUUGCCUGUUGACCAUGUCCAUGCUAUCUCGAAGCAUGUCUGUGGUACUCCGAUUUUCAAUAAGAGCAUUUUAAGCACAAUGCUAAAUUCUCUUUAUCAAUUAUCCAAACACCGUUGUAUGGGUAAUCUCAUGAAAUUUCUCUCCCCUUUCCUAAAGGGUUUUCUACGUUAUAUCCUGUCAUGGCUAUCAUGCUCUGUUUGUCCUUGGGAAGGAUAUACCCCCUGAAAUUUGUGUUUAAACACAUUUUCCUUUCCAUUGUUCUGUUUAAUAUGAGGAUCACCUUUUCCUUUCCAUUGUUUUGUUUACCCUUUCUGAUGACCUAUAUGAUCUAAGCAGUAAUGUUCUUUUGUUUAUGUAAACACCUUGGUGUACAACCGUGUCAGUAAGACCCUGUUGCUUUUGUUGAUAGCAUUCCGGUAACCACCGAUGGACGAGAACUUUGCCUAAUGGUCCGCCUCGUUCAAUGAGCAGGAAAAUGGUUCUCUUCGUCCCUCGCCCUUGGUAUCGACAUUGUUGCCAACAUAACUGAUAGGCUACCCUCUGACAUGUCUUGCUAUCAUGACCGUGCAAGAUGUCAAUAUCCUUCCUACUUUUAACCACAUGGUGGGCCCAUAACCCAUAGUUCCACAUGAUCGAAACCUAACUCUCAUGUACAUCCCUGUUUCGAAGUUAUCCCUUGCACUUCGUUUCGUAUGUAAUUCGCGAGCCACCCUCCUAGUGAUCAAUUCUGGUAUCGGACACAAUACUUAUUCUCGUUGCUCUGAACCCCUUUCACACUCUGAUUCAGGCAAUAAACGAUUGCCUAUCCGCUCGAAACUUCUUAUUGCACCGUCUUACUUGCUCUCGAUGUUUUCUUAAGUUGCAAUUCGAGAGUUACUUUCCGCCACCUUCCCUGGUGUUAUCUACCGGCUAAGCAACCUUGUAGAGGCAUGUUCUUCCGAAGUUACCCCUUAGCAUUAUCGUAAGUACGGCGGAGUUCCUGAAGAAAGGACGACAACCUCAUCAUGAUGCAUUGAUGCAUAGGAAUGAAGACAUCAGCACUAUGGAUCGACCACUUCGAGAAGAGCAACCAAGACCGAGAAGAUCUGUUAGCAUUUCGUAACUAGACCUUCCCCCCCCCCCUUCUCAACCUCUUAAAUCUCGGGACGAGAUUUCUUGUAGUGGAGGAGAAUUGUGACGCCCGGAUAAUUUAGCUACAGUGACCCUCCACUAAUGAUGCCAAGUCAUCACUACUAUGCCCUAAGAAAAACAAUUCAGAAAUAUUUCAAACCAAAUUCAAAUUUAAAGUAAAGUCAAACAAUAAAUAUUUUCCAAAUGUCAAAACAAAAAUGUUCGCGUUAUUCUAUAAAUUCCUCUGAUCAUUGAAAUGUUGAAACCAACUUCAUCUGGGUCACAAAUAAAUUCUUAGGAAAUUAAUAAGUGGUCCAGCAGCAAAUAAAAUGGUCUUUUCAAAAUAAACGAUUAUUCAUACAAUUCAAGUUGACCUCAAACUUUGUGAGUCUCUUCAAAAUAUUGCAUAGAAUUUAGGUGCCAAUUUGUAACAUUUAACAAAAAUCACUUAGUUGCUAAAUUUAAUAAAAGUAAAGAAUAAAAUAGAAAAAUAGAAUACAAAACCUAACUACUGUUGGGCUGGACCUCAAGUGUGCAGGAGCAGGCCCAGUCCAACUGGGGUCAUCCCCAAUCUCGCUAUAGGAGCAGGGAGCCGUGGCGGGCAUCCAUGGCGCCCCAGCCAGGUGUCGGCUAUCCCGCGGCUCCCCCUGUUGGUUAAGGGCGCCCCCAGCAGGCUCCGUCCCCUCUGGAACCCUAGCCCCCAAAUCCCCCAUCUCCCUCUCCCUCGCCCGCUCUCUUCGCCCCGCGCGGGAUCGCCGCGUCACCACCGCUGCGUCGUCGUCACCACGACCAACGAGCUCUCCGCCGCGGGAGAACCUACCAGGAGCCCCGCGUCGUUCGUCCACACCGUCCUCGCCCGCAAGCUCGAGCCGCGGAGGUCGUCAUCGCCCGAUCGGGCAUCUUCCCCUGUUUCGGUCGCUGCCGUCUCGCCGCGUCGUUCAGCUCCUCCGGUCCUCCCCGAGCCUCUCCGGCCUGUCCCCGGCCUCCCCGAGAAUACCAUCCGCCCCCUGGUGAGCUCCUCUCCCCAUCCCCCUCUUUUACUUGCUCGAUCCGUCACCGUAUUGUCGUCCUCGCAAGCCUGGCCGCCAUGGCCGACGCUUUGCGUCCGAGAGCAAGCCCGCCUGCCCAUCCCCGCGCCUUUGCUCCUCGCAGUGCGCCCAUAGCAGCUCCUCGUCGCGCCUUGCCUUGCGCCCGGCUGCGCCUCCACGCACGCGUCCGCCCCCGUGUUGCCGUGCUCCCGGCCGCCCCUGCGAGCCGCCGCAGCCUGCUCCUGCGCUGCUGCUGCUACUUACUUCUCUACUUGUUGUUGCUAUGCGUUGCUACUAGCUCGGCUGCUGCAUCCUACUACUGUCGCUGCUUACUGUACUUUGUAGUUACUAGCUAGCUUCUCUAGUUUUACAAUGACUAACACUUUAGACAGUUCCUAAACGGUGGCUAACCAACUACUAACUUGGGCAAAAAUAAUAUGAGUAGAAAGUUUGCAUGACGAACUCCAUUUUAUUCCACCGGACCAAAUUCCUUCGAUGCCUGGAUUAAAUCCUAUCAAAAUCGCAAAAUACUCUUUUUUGUUAAAAGGAAACAGAACUCCUAGCUAGGUGCUCUGUGUGUGUAUUCUGUAGGUGUGUGUGAUGUGUGUACAGCGUGUGUGUGGCCGGUGUGCCCAUGUGUGUAGGGCUGCCCCAAAGCAGCAUGUGUGUGUGCGUGUGCUGUGUACGUGUGUGUGUGUGAUAUUUGUGCAGCGUGUAAGUGUGUGUGGCCGAUGUGCCAUGUGUGUGGGGCUGCCCCAAAAUUAGUUUAGGUCUAGUUUAAUUAGAUGGAUUAGUUUUAGGAUUAUUUUUGCUUCUUAGCUAGUUUUAUUAGUGCUAAGUUACUCUAGUAGUAGAUGACAUGUAGGCCCUCUUUUUAAAUAAGUUAGGUUUAGAGUCUAUGACAUGUGGGCCACACAUCCCCUUUUGACUAGUCAAAUUGACUUAGUCAACUCGAAUUAGAAUAAUAUGUUAAUUUUAGAAAAUAAAUUAAACUUUAAAAAUCAGUAUAAAAUAAUCCGUAACUUGGAUGAAAAUAUCAUGUACAUGAAAGUUGCUGAGAACGACGAGAUGAAUUCAAAUACGCAGUCCGUUCGUCCGCCACACAUCUCUAGCAUAGCGAACAUGCACCUUUCCCCUUUCGGUUCAUCUGCCCGAAAACACGAAACACCGAGGAUACUUUUUCGAAUGUUUCCCCCCUUCGCUGGUAUCACAUAUCCCUGCGUUACGUCACCCUUAGCACAACGUAUUAUCGCGUUUUGCUUUGUGUUACAUUUGAUUGCUCUAUUAUUUAUUGUGUUCCCCCUUCGUUACUUCUUUCCGGUAGGCUUCGAGACCGUUGCCGAUACCCCUGUGAUUGGCUACAUCGACGACGACCCCUCUCUCUUGCCAGAGCAACCAGGCAAGCCCCCAUUUGAUCACCAGAUAUCGCCUACUCUUCUCUCUACUGCUUGCAUUAGAGUAGUGUAGCAUGUUAUUGCUUUCCGUUAAUCCUAUUCUGAUUCAUAGCCUGUCCUUGCUACGACUGUUGUUACCUUUACCUGCUAUCCUAAUGCUUAAUAUAGGAUGCUAGUGUUCCAUCAAUGGCCCUACACUCUUGUCCGUUUGCCAUGCUAUACUACUGGGCUGUGAUCACUUCGGGAGGUGAUCACGGGCAUAUUCGAUAUACUUCAUACUGUUACAUUACUUAUGAUACUGUUCGGAGUUGGGGGCUGAAGGGGCAGGUGGCUCCAUCCCGAUAGAGGUGGGCCUGGGUUCCCGACGGCCCCGGCUGUUACUUUGUGGCGGAGCGACAGGGAAGGUUGAGACCACCUAGGAGAGAGGUGGGCCUGACCCUGGUCGGCGUUCGCGGUUAUUUCAAGAUAACACAUUUAACGAGAUCUUGGUAUUUGAUCUGAGUCUGGCCACUGGCCUAUACGCACUAACCAUCUACGCGGAGGCAGUUAUGGGCACUGGACGUCGUGGUAUCAGCCGAAGCCUUCGUGACGUCAACGACUGAGCGGCGCGCGCCGGAUUGGACUGGAAAGCCUGCUAGGCUAGGUCUGCUUCCGGCCGCGUUCGCAACGUGCAGGUGUGCAAUGGGCGAUGGGCCCAAACCCCUGCGCCAUAGGAUUUAGACCGGCGUGUUGACCUCUCUGUUGUGCCUAGGUAGGGUUGCGACGUGUUGAUCUUUCGAGGCCGGGCAUGACCCAAAAAAGUGUGUCCGGCCAAAUGGGAUCGAGCGUGUUGGGUUAUGUGGUGCACCCCUACAGGGAAGUUAAUUUAUUCGAAUAGCCGUGAUCUUCGGUAACAGGACGACUUGGAGUUGUACCUUAACCUUAUGACAACUAGAACCGGAUACUUAAUAAAACACAUCCUUCCAAGUGCCAGAUACAACCGGUGAUCGCUCUCACAGGGCGGCGAAGGGAGGGUCAUCGGUUAGGAUUAUGCUAUGCGAUGCUACUUGGUGAACUUACCAUCUACUCUCUUCUCCUGCUGCAAGAUGGAGGUUACCAGAAGCGUAGUCUUUGAUAGGACUAGCUAUCCCCCUCUUAUUCUGGCAUUAUGCAGUUCAGUCCACGUAUGAUACCCCUUUUUCCAUUUGAUACCAAUGCAUACAUAUGUAGUGUAGCUCCUUGCUUGCGAGUACUUUGGAUGAGUACUCACGGUUGCUUUGCUCCCCCUUUCCCCCCUUUCUGUACCCGGUUGUUGCGACCAGAUGAUGGAGUCCAGGAGCCAGAGGAUCCCGAGGAUGAUUCUACGUGGAGUUCGACUUCCAGGAGUAGUUUAGGAGGAUCCCAGGCAGGAGGCCUGCGCCUCUUUCGAUCUGUAUCCCAGUUUGUGCUAGCCUUUUUAAGGCAAACUUGUUUAACUUAUGUCUGUACUCAGAUAUUGUUGCUUCCGCUGACUCGUCUAUGAUCGAGCUCUUGUAUUCGAGCCCUCGAGGCCCCUGGCUUGUAAUAUGAUGCUUGUAUGACUUAUUUUAUUUGUAGAGUUGUGUUGUGAUAUCUUCCCGUGAGUCCUUGAUCUUGAUCAUACAUGUUUGCGUGUAUAAUUAGUGUACGGUCAAAUCGGGGGCGUCACAUAGGUGGAGGGGGACCACGUGGGGUCCACGAGGUAGGGGGCGUGCUUCAAGAGGUGGGCGCGCCCUGGACCCUCGUGGCCAGGUGGUGAGGCCCCCUAGUGUGUUCUCAGUGCCAAUAAUUCU
rnacentral:lncRNA from 1 species